rnacentral:rRNA from 1 species
UACGUAGGGUGCGAGCGUUAAUCGGAAUUACUGGGCGUAAAGCGUGCGCAGGCGGUUUUGUAAGCCAGAUGUGAAAUCCCCGGGCUUAACCUGGGAAUGGCAUUUGGGACUGCAAAGCUAGAGUAUGGCAGAGGAGACUAGAAUUUCUGGUGUAGCAGUGAAAUGCGUAGAUAUCAGAAGGAAUACCGAUGGCGAAGGCAGGUCUCUGGGUCAAUACUGACGCUCAUGCACGAAAGCCAGGGGAGCGAACGGG